rnacentral:tRNA from 1 species
GAGUCGAUGUAAUUAAGUAUUAGUUUUUUGUUUGUAGAAAUAUUAGAUAAUAAAUUUUAUUUA